rnacentral:lncRNA from 10 species
UGGGAACUCAUUUCCUCAUAGCACAACCCUUUCUCCUCUACCUGGGAGAGCUUUUGUCACCCAGAGCUGAUCCACCCCUCUCUUCCUGGUUCUGCCAGACUCUAUACCCUCUAUCUUACCAGAGCCUAGAGACAGAAUCUUCUCUGCCCAGGUUAGAAAACCCCUAUCUUCACUGCUCCUGUGUGUAAUAGGAUUUCCCAGGUGAAACUUAUGAUAAUCAUGUUUUUUUUAACCCCAACAGACCUAAUUGUCUAGCUAUUGUGUGGGAACCCUAAAGGAAGCCAUGGCAUGGGGAGUGGCUCAAAGUGGAGGCUCCUAAGGCUUGGUGUCUCUAGGAGGAAUAUUAAAAAUCACCCUGUUAACCAGUUCAUUCCAUUCUCAUCUGGCCAGCUCAGAUUGGGAGUCCUUUCCAGUAACAUCUCCACAAGGCACUGCUUGUGGAGAUUUGGAAACACUACUGGUCCAUUGGAUAGAGGAAGCACGCUCCCCAUUGGAUUCUUCUUUAUAAUUGGAUGGAGGGCUCUAAUACAGAGAAACUGGAUGCUCUGCUAAUCUAGAGGUCGGGAUUUUCACCACCCCAAUAGAAACCUCAUACCCAAGCAUUCUCCAUUUCCC